GUGUCAGCAGCCGCGGUAAUACGAAGGGGGCUAGCGUUGCUCGGAAUCACUGGGCGUAAAGGGUGCGUAGGCGGGUCUUUAAGUCGGGGGUGAAAUCCUGGAGCUCAACUCCAGAACUGCCUUCGAUACUGGCGAUCUUGAGUCCGGAAGAGGUGAGUGGAACUCCUAGUGUAGAGGUGGAAUUCGUAGAUAUUAGGAAGAACACCAGUGGCGAAGGCGGCUCACUGGUCCGGUACUGACGCUGAGGUGCGAAAGCGUGGGGAGCAAACAGGAUUAGAUACCCCUGUAGUCC
rnacentral:rRNA from 1 species